GACAGAGGUCCCGAGCGUUAGGCGGAAUCACUGGGCUUAAAGCGUGUGUAGGCGGAUCGUUAAGUGCCUUGUGAAAUCCCAACGGCUUAACCGUGGAACUGCUUGGCAUACUGGCGGUCUUGAGCCACUUAGGGGCAACCGGGAACAAAAUGGUGGAGCGGGUGAAAUGACGUAGAUAUCGUUUGGAACGCCAAUGGUGAAAACAGGUUGACU
rnacentral:rRNA from 1 species